GCCCAAUGCGUGCGGUGGCACCUGCUCUGUGUGUAAAGAUGGAUUCUUCAACCUGCAGAGUGACAGCUUCUUCGGCUGUCAAGGUUGUCAGUGCGACAUUGGAGGAUCAGCGGGACAGUCCUGUGGGGAGAGGAACGGGAGAUGUCGCUGCAGACCCAACGUGGAGGGACCCAAGUGUAACAGGCCUCGUCCAGACCACUACUUUCCAGACCUGCACC